GAAUUGAUGGGGCCCCGCACAAGCAGCGGAGCAUGCGGCUUAAUUCGACGCAACGCGAAGAACCUUACCAAGGCUUGACAUAUACAGGAAUAUGGCAGAGAUGUCAUAGCCGCAAGGUCUGUAUACAGGUGGUGCAUGGUUGUCGUCAGCUCGUGUCGUGAGAUGUUGGGUUAAGUCCCGCAACGAGCGCAACCCUCGUUCUGUGUUGCCAGCAUUUAGUUGGGGACUCACAGGAGACUGCCGGGGUUAACUCGGAGGAAGGUGGGGAUGACGUCAAAUCAUCAUGCCCCUUAUGUCUUGGGCUGCACGCAUGCUACAAUGGCUGGUACAAACGGCUGCGAUACCGCAAGGUGGAGCGAAUCCGAUAAAGCCAGUCUCAGUUCGGAUUGGGGUCUGCAACUCGACCCCAUGAAGUCGGAGUUGCUAGUAAUCGUAGAUCAGCAACGCUACGGUGAAUACGUUCCCGGGGCUUGUACACACCGCCCGUCACAUCACGAAAGUCGGUACACCCAAAGUCAGUGGCCCAACCGCAAGGAGGGAGCUGCCAAAGGUG
rnacentral:rRNA from 1 species